rnacentral:rRNA from 1 species
ACAUGAGUAACCUGCCCUUGACUUUGGGAUAACUUCAGGAAACUGGGGCUAAUACCGGAUAGGAGCUCCUGCUGCAUGGUGGGGGUUGGAAAGUUUCGGCGGUUGGGGAUGGACUCGCGGCUUAUCAGCUUGUUGGUGGGGUAGUGGCAUACCAAGGCUUUGACGGGUAGCCGGCCUGAGAGGGUGACCGGCCACAUUGGGACUGAGAUACGGCCCAG